ACUACAAUCUCUUUCUCACUAUUUAGCAAGUUUUCCUUGGAGCUGCCCCAGUGGAACUGUGCUACCUGGCCUGCUUGGAGCCAAGAAGGACUGAAUCCUCAAUAGCAUCUGAUCCUCCUAAAGGAAUUGGAAUCAGAGUGGAAACUUGAGAAAGUGACAAGAGAUUUUUGGGUCUGUUAGUGGGAAUCAACUGAUCUGCGGGGCUGCAACCCCAGACUGAAGAUUGCCCUUGUUUGUAAGUGUUCAUAAUGAUGCUUAAACUAUUACCAACAAUCAAUCUGGAGAUGCUUGACCUCUUCAUUUGGCAUAAAAAAACCAAUCCAUGAUUAUGGGGUGCUACAGGGUUCCCCAGCAAAAGGAAUUCCAGACCUUACAAUUGGAGACAAAGUCACAGGUAAUACUAAUACUACUGUGGGUUGUUGUGGCUUAUACAAAGAAAUGACAAACUUCAGUUAGAGGUUAAUAAAAAUAAAGAUAUAAUUUUUCCUCUUUCAAGUUCAGAGGUCCAUUGAAAUCAAUCCUUGGGGACAAGGGACCCAAGAUUAAGACCCUUGGUUUAAAGGAAGGGAAAAAAGUAAAGAUAUACCAAAACAAGGUUUUCCUGUCAGGAAGGUUUGAAUUGCAGUUCUGCCUCGGACACAAGUUGUGGGACCCUGGGCAAGUUCCUUAGAAUCUCUGUGAUUCAGUUUCCACAGCUGUAAAAUGGGGUUAAUAAUAGCACCUACCUCAAAGGGUGUUGUGAGGACCGAAUAACUUAACAU